rnacentral:rRNA from 1 species
GACGAACGCUGGCGGCGUGCUUAACACAUGCAAGUCGAACGGAAAGGCCCUGCUCUUGUGGGGUGCUCGAGUGGCGCACGGGUGAGUAUCACGUGAGUAACCUGCCCUUGAAUUUGGGAUAAAUUCAGGAAACUCGGGCUCUUACCGGAUAGGAGCUCCUGCUGCACGGUGGGGGUUGGAAAGAUUCGGCGGUUGGAGAUGGAAUAGCGGCUUAUCAGCUUGUUAGUGGGGUAGUGGCUUACCAAGGUUUUGACGGGUAGCCGGCAUGAGAGGGUGGACGGCCACAUUGGGACUGAGAUACGGCGCAGACUCCUACGGGAGGCAGCAGUGGAGAGUAUGGCACAGUGGGCGGAAGCCUGAUGCAGCAACGCCGCGUGCGUAAUAACGUGCUUCGGGUUAUAAACCGCUGUCGCCUGUAACGAGGCGUUAUUGACGGUAAUUGGUAAAGAAGCACCGGCUAACUACGUG